UAUAAAGCCAAUGGCCUAGUGAAGAAUUC
rnacentral:piRNA from 1 species